rnacentral:rRNA from 1 species
UGNNAGUCGANCGGUAACAGGAUGUGCUUGCACAUCGCUGACGAGUGGCNNNNNGNUGAGUAAUGCUUGGGAACUUGCCUUUGCGAGGGGGAUAACAGUUGGAAACGACUGCUAAUACCGCAUAAUGUCUACGGACCAAACGGGGCUUCGGCUCCGGCGCAAAGAGAGGCCCAAGUGAGAUUAGCUAGUUGGUAAGGUAACGGCUUACCAAGGCGACGAUCUCUAGCUGUUCUGAGAGGAAGAUCAGCCACACUGGGACUGAGACACGGCCCAGACUCCUACGGGAGGCAGCAGUGGGGAAUAUUGCACAAUGGGGGAAACCCUGAUGCAGCCAUGCCGCGUGUGUGAAGAAGGCCUUCGGGUUGUAAAGCACUUUCAGUUGUGAGGAAAAGUUAGUAGUUAAUACCUGCUAGCCGUGACGUUAACAACAGAAGAAGCACCGGCUAACUCCGNGCCAGCAGCCGCGGUAAUACGGAGGGUGCGAGCGUUAAUCGGAAUUACUGGGCGUAAAGCGCACGCAGGCGGUUUGUUAAGCUAGAUGUGAAAGCCCCGGGCUCAACCUGGGAUGGUCAUUUANAACUGGCAGACUANAGUCUUGGAGANGGGAGUGGAAUUCCAGGUGUANCGGUGAAAUGC